rnacentral:rRNA from 1 species
UUGUAUGAAUGGUUAAAUGAGGGCCUAACUGUCUCCUGUGGCCAAUCAAUGAAAUUGAUCUUACAGUACAAACGCUGUAAUAUACCUAUAAGACGAGAAGACCCUGUGGAGCUUUAAAUCUCUACACUAACUAAUUAUUCCACCAACAUUAUUAACAUAGUGUAAAUUUUAAGUUGGGGCGACUGUGGAGUAAAAAAAACCCUCCAUGAAACACGGCUGAUACCCGUCCCACCAGGCCAACAAGCCUAAUCAAAACUACACGACCCAGUUCAAACUGAAUAUCGAACCAAGUUACCCCAGGGAUAACAGCGCCAUCCCCUUAAAGAGUCCACAUCGCCAAGGGGGUUUACG